GUACUGGCUUCAGCAACACAUAUACUAAAACCAGAAUGAUACAGAGAAGAUUAGCAUGGCCCCUGUGCAAGGGUGACAUGCAAAUUCAUGAAGCGUUCCAUAUUUUA